ACGUGAGUUGGGUCCGGGCCUGUAUUGGGGCUCAACGAGUUCGGCAAACUCAGGAGGGUUUUGCCGGACGUCCUCAAGAGUGCAAAG
rfam:Pseudomonas sp. TW4, complete genome.